UACGUAGGGUGCGAGCGUUAAUCGGAAUUACUGGGCGUAAAGCGUGCGCAGGCGGUUUUUUAAGAUAGGCGUGAAAUCCCCGGGCUUAACCUGGGAACUGCGCUUAUGACUGGAAGACUAGAGUACGGCAGAGGGGGGUGGAAUUCCACGUGUAGCAGUGAAAUGCGUAGAGAUGUGGAGGAACACCAAUGGCGAAGGCAGCCCCCUGGGCCGAUACUGACGCUCAUGCACGAAAGCGUGGGGAGCAAACAGGAUUAGAUACCCUGGUAGUCCACGCCCUAAACGAUGUCAACUAGGUGUUGGGUGGGUAAAACCAUUUAGUACCGUAGCUAACGCGUGAAGUUGACCGCCUGGGGAGUACGGCCGCAAGGUUAAA
rnacentral:rRNA from 1 species